rnacentral:rRNA from 1 species
AUUGAACGCUGGCGGCAGGCCUAACACAUGCAAGUCGAACGGAGUGGCGGACGGGUGAGUAAUGUCUGGGAAACUGCCUGAUGGAGGGGGAUAACUACUGGAAACGGUAGCUAAUACCGCAUACUAUCAGAUGAGCCUAGGUCGGAUUCGCUAGUUGGUGGGGUCAAGGCCUACCAAGGCGACGAUCCGUAACUGGUCUGAGAGGAUGAUCAGUGACACUGGAACUUAGACACGAUCCAGACUCCUACGUGAGGCAGCAGUGGGGAAUAUUGGACAAGUUGCGAAAGCCUGAUCCAGCCAUGCCGCGUGAGUGAAGAAGGUCUUCGGAUUGUAAAGCACUUUAAGUUGGGAGGCGUGACCAACAGAAUAAGCACCGGCUAACUUCGUGCCAGCAGCCGCGGUAAUUC